rnacentral:rRNA from 1 species
AUGGAUCAGAGGACGAUCAUCAUGUGCUCGGUCGUCGGCUCUCUCGGGGUGCUGAGUGCCAUCCUGGGGUUCUCAGCCGAAGGCACGAAGCUCACCAUUUCGGACUUGUAUGUGGGCGGAGGGGUGUGCCUGUACCCGCAGAACCCGGCGCUGGGGCUCGGGGUCUGCGCCGCCAUCUUCCUCAUCGUGGCCCAGAUCGUCUUCGCGGCCGUCGGCGGCUGCUGCGGCUGCUGCAAGUCCCGCGCCAUCCCCUCCGAGACCAACCGGAUCAUCGGCGUCAUCUGCGCCGUCUUCUCAUGGAUUUCGGCGAUGAUCGCGUUCGGGCUGCUGGUGGAGGGCGCUGCGUGGAACUCCACCGGGACGCGGUACUCGUCAGUGUACGGGUAUUGCUACGUCCUUAAGGACGGCAUCUUCGCCGGAGGUGCCGUGCUCACGCUCGUCGCCACGGCCCUCGGGGUCACCUCCUACAUCAUGCUCCGCAAGCAGCCUGCCGCCGCGGCGGUGCCCAAGGCAGGCGAGCAGAUGCCGGCGGGCGGCGCCGGGAUCGCGAUGGGGCAGCCGCAGUUCCCGCAGCAGGCUUCUCCACAGGGGCAGGGGUACGGGCAGGCGCCGCCGAGCUACCCGCAGUACUCGCCGCCGCCUCAGGGACAACAGGGGUACGGCCAAGCGCCGAACGCGCAGUUCCCUCCUACCGCCUCUCCUCCAUACGGCCAGGCGCCCAGCCCGCACUACGCCCCUCCUCCGGCACAAGGCUACGCACCCAACCAGCAGCAGCAGCAGCAGCAGCAGUUCCCAGCUCCUCCGGCGCAAGGCUACGGGGCACACGCGCCGAACCAGCACUACCCUCCUCCUCCUCCCGCUCAUGGCUACGGAGCGCACGCGCCGAACCAGCAGUUUCCCCCUGCAUCUCCUCCUCCUGCUCAUGGCUAUGGACCGCACACGCCUCCUACAGGACACCAACAGGUGUAA